GAGGCGUUCAUGUGCGGUUUGUUGAUGGUGCGAAUUCUCUUUGACUAGGGAUCCAAAGAGGGUGCUAGACCCUUACGCAUUGUUGACUUUUCGUACGCGUUCGUUUCUUGGAGUAGGGUUGUUUUGGAUCGCAGCCCAAAGUAGGUGGUAUACUUCAUCUAAAGCUAAAUACGACUACGAAUCCGAUAGCAAACAAGUACCGUGAGGGAAAGUUGCAAAGUACUUUGAAGAGAGAGUUCAAGAGGACGUGAAACCGGUAGGGUGGAAGCAGAUAAAGUUGACGAACGUGUGUCGUAUUCAGAACUACAAUUUGUGGUUUGUUUUUACGAUCGAUGUGGGCUGGCGUCUUUGGUUAACUUAGUGUCUGGCGGCAAUGGUGACCCUGCGGAGGGAUAAUCGGUUGUCGUGCGAUGCUUGGUAUGGCUAGAGGUUCGCUGGUCUUAUAGUCAUCGCUUUAUCUGACCCGUCUUGAAACACGGACCAAGGAGUGUAGCGCUUACGCGAGUCUUAGAGUGUGUCAAAACUUUGAGGCGUAACGAAAGUAAAUGUGGAUUUAUUCACUGACUUGGGAUGCGUUGUCUUUUUUGGAUAGCGUUGGACCAUGGUUUUAUCGUAAUCGCUUGCGAUGCGGUGAAAAUAGAGCGUAAGCGGUGCGACCCGAAAGAUGGUGAACUAUGCCUGAGCAGGAUGAAG
rnacentral:rRNA from 10 species